rnacentral:rRNA from 1 species
GUGGGGAAUAUUGGACAAUGGGCGAAAGCCUGAUCCAGCCAUGCCGCGUGUGUGAAGAAGGUCUUCGGAUUGUAAAGCACUUUAAGUUGGGAGGAAGGGCAGUAAGUUAAUACCUUGCUGUUUUGACGUUACCGACAGAAUAAGCACCGGCUAACUUCGUGCCAGCAGCCGCGGUAAUACGAAGGGUGCAAGCGUUAAUCGGAAUUACUGGGCGUAAAGCGCGCGUAGGUGGUUUUGUAAGUUGGAGGUGAAAUCCCCGGGCUCAACCGGGGAACUGCCUCCAAAACUGCAUGACUAGAGUACGGUAGAGGGUAGUGGAAUUUCCUGUGUAGCGGUGAAAUGCGUAGAUAUAGGAAGGAACACCAGUGGCGAAGGCGACUACCUGGACUGAUACUGACACUGAGGUGCGAAAGCGUGGGGAGCAAACAGGAUUAGAUACCCUAGUAGUCC